rnacentral:rRNA from 1 species
UACGUAGGGUGCGAGCGUUAAUCGGAAUUACUGGGCGUAAAGCGUGCGCAGGCGGUUGGCAAAGUCAGCUGUGAAAGCCCCGGGCUCAACCUGGGAAUUGCGGUUGAAACUAGUCGACUAGAAUCUGGCAGAGGGGGGUGGAAUUCCACGUGUAGCAGUGAAAUGCGUAGAGAAUGUGGAGGAACACCGAUGGCGAAGGCAGCCCCCUGGGCUGAGAU